GUGCUUGCUUUGGCAGAACAUAUACUAAAAUUGGAACGAAACAGAGAAGAUUAGCAUGGCCCCUGCACAAGGAUGACACACAAAUUUGUGAAGCAUUCCAUAUUUUU